GGACGAACGCUGGCGGCGUGCCUAAUACAUGCAAGUCGAGCGGACUUUAGAAAAGCUUGCUUUUCUAAAGUUAGCGGCGGACGGGUGAGUAACACGUGGGCAACCUGCCCUAUAGUUGGGGAUAACUCCGGGAAACCGGGGCUAAUACCGAAUAAUACAUUCCUUCUCCUGUUGGAAUGUUGAAAGAUGGUUUACGCUAUCGCUAUAGGAUGGGCCCGCGGCGCAUUAGCUAGUUGGUGAGGUAACGGCUCACCAAGGCGACGAUGCGUAGCCGACCUGAGAGGGUGAUCGGCCACACUGGGACUGAGACACGGCCCAGACUCCUACGGGAGGCAGCAGUAGGGAAUCUUCCACAAUGGGCGAAAGCCUGAUGGAGCAACGCCGCGUGAGUGAAGAAGGUUUUCGGAUCGUAAAACUCUGUUGUAAGGGAAGAACAAGUACAGUAGUAACUGGCUGUACCUUGACGGUACCUUAUUAGAAAGCCACGGCUAACUACGU
rnacentral:rRNA from 1 species